rnacentral:tRNA from 2 species
GCUCGGGUGGCGAAAUUGGUAGACGCGCCAGAUUUAGGUUCUGGUUCCGAGAGGAGUGGGAGUUCGAUUCUCCCCCCGAGCACCA